rnacentral:rRNA from 1 species
GAUGAACGCUGGCGGCGUGCCUAAUACAUGCAAGUCGAGCGAAGAGGGGACGGGUGAGUAACACGUGGAUAACCUCCUAUAAGACUGGGAUAACUUCGGGAAACCGGAGCUAAACCGGAUACUAUUAGCUGGAUCCGCGCUGCAUUAGCUAGUUGGUAAGGUAACGGCUUCACAAGGCAACGAUGCAGAGCCGACCUUAGAGGAUGAUCGGCCAAACUGGAACUGAGACACGGUCCGAACUCCUACGGGAGGCAGCAUUAGGGAAUCUUCCGGAAUGGGCGAAAGCCUGACGGAGCAACGCCGCGUGAGUGAUGAAGGUCUUCGGAUCGUAAAACUCUGUUAUUAGGGAAGCGGUACCUAAUCAGAAAGCCACGGCUAACUACGUGCCAGCAGCCGCGGUAAUAC